AGCAGUCGCCACGGUAACACAAAGGAUGCAAGCGUUAUCCGGAAUGAUUGGGCAUAAAGCGUCUGUAGGUGGCUUCUCAAGUCUGCUGUCAAAUCCCAAGGCUCAACCCUUGACAGGUGGUGGAAACUACCAAGCUGGAGUAUGGUAGGGGCAGAGGGAAAUUCUGGUGGAGUGGUGAAAUACGUUGAGAUCGGAAAGAACACCAACAAUGAAAGAACUAUGUUGGGCCGACACUGACACUGAGAGACAAAAGCUGGGGGAGCAAAUGGGAUUAGAUACCCGCGUAGUCCCUGUCUCUUAUAC
rnacentral:rRNA from 1 species